AUUGAACGCUGGCGGCAGGCCUAACACAUGCAAGUCGAACGAGUGGCGGACGGGUGAGGAGUGUCUGGGAAACUGCCCGAUGGAGGGGGAUAACUACUGGAAACGGUAGCUAAUACCGCAUACCAUCGGAUGUGCCCAGAUGGGAUUAGCUAGUAGGUGGGGUAACGGCUCACCUCGGCGACGAUCCCUAGCUGGUCUGAGAGGAUGACCAGCCACACUGGAACUGAGAAACGGUCCAGACUCCUACGGGAGGCAGCAGUGGGGAAUAUUGCACAAUGGGCGAAAGCCGGAUGCAGCAAUGCCGAGUGGAUGAAGAAGGCCUUAGGGUUGUAAAGUACUUUCAGCGAGGAGGCGUUACUCGCAGAAGAAGCACCGGCUAACUCCGUGCCAGCAGCCGCGGUAAUAC
rnacentral:rRNA from 1 species